AAACCUAUGGGUUAAACACCAAGCGGCGAACUCUGGGGCAAAGCCGGGAAGCCCCUAAGGAAGUGCCACAAACUGCAGUUCAUCUAUUGGCCGAUAGGGGAUGGCUGCAGAAAGGAGCAAUUUCCAUCGACCCCCAUGUUAAAAUGCCCAACUUUACAGCAGAAAUAAACACGUUUCUACCCCUGGAUGCAAUAAAAAUUAUUCUGGAUAUAGUUAGAUUCCACCUUCAUGACAAUUGAUUGGGGAG